UGUGAGCUCGAUGAGUAGGGCGGGACACGUGGUAUCCUGUCUGAAUAUGGGGGGACCAUCCUCCAAGGCUAAAUACUCCUGACUGACCGAUAGUGAACCAGUACCGUGAGGGAAAGGCGAAAAGAACCCCGGCGAGGGGAGUGAAAAAGAACCUGAAACCGUGUACGUACAAGCAGUGGGAGCCCCACCACUAAGCCAGUGGUGAACUCCACAUACGCAUCCUUUGCUGAAGGUGCGGUUAACGGAGCGCAAGCGACGUUCAACCUCAAAAGAAGCAGAGGGGGCUUAGUGGUGGGGUGACUGCGUACCUUUUGUAUAAUGGGUCAGCGACUUAUAUUCUGUAGCAAGGUUAACCGCAUAGGGGAGCCGGAGGGAAACCGAGUCUUAAUUGGGCGUUAAGUUGCAG
rnacentral:rRNA from 1 species